ACUCGAGGGAGGAUGAGGGGCACAACGGAGGAAGCGGCGCCCGACCAGAUAUCCGAGCUGCAAGCCCCUGAACCGCAGCCUCCACAGAGGAGAUCCCGACCCUGUAGGCCUAGAACAUCUCCUCAGAUGAAGAUUAUAUGACCUCACUCUGCAUUGAGUUGAAAGAAGAAACCAGAAUGUUGGGGUAUGUCGUAUCAGGAGUUUUUGCAAUAGGAGCAGAGAAGACACAUUCUCCAAAAUUGGUAAG